UACGGGGGGGGCAAGCGGUUGUUCGGAAUUACUGGGCGUAAAGGGCUCGUAGGUGGCCAACUAAGUCAGACGUGAAAUCCCUCGGCUUAACCGAGGAACUGCGUCUGAUACUGGAUGGCUUGAGUCCGGAAGAGGAGAGUGGAAUUCCGUGGUGUAGCGGUGAAAUGCGCAGAUAUCAGGAAGAACACCCGUGGCGAAGGCGGCUCUCUGGGACGGUACUGACGCUGAGACGCGAAAGCGUGGGGAGCGAACAGG
rnacentral:rRNA from 1 species